rnacentral:rRNA from 1 species
CCGGCACGGGUGAGUAACGCGUAUCCAACCUGCCUUACACUCUUGGACAGCCUUCUGAAAGGGAGAUUAAUACAAGAUGUUAUCAUGAGUAAGCAUUUUCGCAUGAUUAAAGGCUUACCGGUGUAAGAUGGGGAUGCGUUCCAUUAGAUAGUAGGCGGGGUAACGGCCCACCUAGUCUUCGAUGGAUAGGGGUUCUGAGAGGAAGGUCCCCCACAUUGGAACUGAGACACGGUCCAA